rnacentral:lncRNA from 1 species
CUACACCCGCUUCACCCGCUUAACGACACGAAUCAGCGUCCUCCGCGCAGGGACCCGGAGCUGGCUGGAGGCGUCCGCAGAAGACCCGCGCCGGGGCCGAGGGCCGCGUGGGGGCCGCAGACUUGCAGGGAGCGCAGCCCCAGGCAGCAGACUGUGGCUUCCAGAACCGACUGUGCCCGAGGAUAAGGCCUGAACUUCAACAACCUGCAAGUGGGUUGAGCAACCCGUUUCACCGUUGAGGAGACAGAGCGCUGGCCCAGCCUGGACCCGGAGCUGAGGUUCCUGUUUCCUGGCUCACCUGGAGGCUCC